ensembl:lincRNA linc-100 ncRNA
UCAAUACAAAACAAACAGACCUUUACAUCGCUCCACGUGGAACGAGUCCUUGAUCUCCAACUUGCCCCGAAUUGUCAUUGAAACCGCUAUCGGUUUCUGGCUGCUAUCAGCUUAUCACUGUCAAGUCAGUUUUGCAGAAACCAAAAUUGCAACACCUUGAUAAAGUUUUUUUUUAGUUUCUAUUCACAAAUUUUUAGUUUCAGUCUCAGUUCCUUCUCACCUAUUCCUCGCAUUUUGCUUGUAAGAAAGAACCAAAUUUUUGAAUGAAAUUUUUUUUUGGGUUUUG